GCCCGCUUAGCUCAAAGGUUAAAGCAUC
rnacentral:tRNA from 1 species